AGAAAUAGCAAAAAGACAAAAAAAAAAAAAAAAAAAAAAAAAGCUCUCAGUUUUAAAUCUAAACUUGAGGCCAGUAAUCUCUGCACCACCCCUACCACCAAAGGACACCUUGGCCAUAACCUUGAGCUGCAUCUCUCGCAGGGAUGGGCCUGCUCUGAGCCUGCCUUGACUGCAGGGAGGAUGAAUAAUUGGAAAGCCCAGCCUGCUGCCCUUGGCAUUCCUUGAGCUCUGAGUGACAUCACCCCCGGAAGCCUCUGUUGCUUGGGCCUCAUGUGAGGUUCUGCCUGCUCGGGGGUGGUGAGGGAGGGGAAUGAUUUGCAGCCUGAACAGGAGCAGCCUUGCAGCGUGCUCAGAAAGUGGAUGUAAAAGGAAGCAUUCUCAACAUUCCAUCCCACUGCUUCACUGCACUGGAAGCAGAGGUGAUUCAUGAGUGAACUCCUUGUAAGCAUAUAUCAGGUGCAGCAGAUUCCAGCCCUUCCAUGUAUCCCUCCAGACUCUGUAGUGGAGAUCUAGGUGGCCAGAACUUACAAGAAACUCGCCCUUCAGUGGAAGAAAUGGGCAUCCAGUAACCUAGUCCCCAAACAAGAAUAGGCCUGCUGAGAUGCAUCCUGCCAGUGCAGUUCCUUUAUUAUUCCACAAGUCUGUAUUGAGCGCUCACCAUGAGCAAACAUUUUAUUGAGCACCUGCUGUAUGCUUCUGGCUAAGCAUGUUCACCUGAAUAACUGAUUUAACCUCAGUACAUCCCAGUGAAGAGGGCCUGGUUCAGAUGAGAGCAUCCAGGUUCCGAGAGGUUAAGUGACUUGUUCAGGGUCACAUAGCAAGACAUGCAGUGAGUUUCACACCCUGAGCAGAGCCCAACAGGUUGAGCUGACCUUUCCCUUCUGUCUUUUUUAUGAGUUUGUAUCAAAGCCCCCAUCCUUCAUGAUUACACUUGAUUAUUUACGUUUCCCUCUCUCCCCCUGACCAAGGAGCCAGUUCCGAAGGUCCCUGCAGUCAUAGUCCCUCGCCUACAGCUGGCCCUAGUAAGGCAUUUUGCCCAGUAAAUACACAAAAUGGGAACUCAGGUCUUGGCAUCACACUGCUCCCUCCACAGCUGAGACGGGAAGGAAGAAGGGCCCUGACCUCAGGGGCUUACUGUCUGGUUGUUAUGGACCCCAAUCCGUAUCUUGAAAGGGAAAGAAGAUUCAUGAGUCAGGCUGGGUUUGGUAAUAGUUUAAAGGGGCUGGUAAAACCAGAGGAAGGGGAGAUGGUUGAGGGUCCAGCAGUCAGGGUGGGCCAGGGAGAGGUGUAAGAACUGAAGACAGGAUUGACACAGGCAGAGGAAGGAGGCAGGGGGCAGGAGUGGGAGGUGGAGGCAGUCAGAUGUCCUCUCCAGGGAGGAGAAGGCCAUCCUGGUGGGGACCAGGGAGGCUCUGAGGAUGAUAAGGAGGUGGCGGAGUUCAGGUCCGGGAAGUAACACCUGUUUUGUGCAAUCAGGCCUUGUGCAUAUGAAGUCUAAAGAUGGCGAUUAGCCUUUGGCCUAGUAAUUCCUCUUCUGGGAAAUGAUCUUAAGGAAAAUCUCCCAAAUAUGGGGGAGGUAAAGCUAUAUUCACAACAGUGUUCAUCACAGCACUAUUUGUACAAAGGUAAAAGUGGAAGCAACCAAAACAUUUCUCAUAAGAGAAUGGGUAAGAAAUGGGCACAUCCAGCAGCCAUUACAUGUGAUGUUUUCAAAGAUUCUGAAUAACAUUCGAAAUCAAUCAUGUUAAAAUGUUGAGGGAAAUGGCAGGUGACAGAUAAUAACAAUAGGUAUAUUUAUGGAGUGCUGCUUCCUAGGCACUCAGUACUUUCUGUAUUUGGCCUCAUUUAAUCAAUACAACAACCCCGAGAGGGUGGAGUUAUUGCACAGAACAGAUUUGCAAACUGAGGCUCUGCCAGGAGGUGGAAGAGCUGGGAUUCCAGCUCGGGUCAUAUUCACUCUAGUGUGUGCCAACCUCCACCUUCUGUAACAUGCCCACGUCUAGCAAGGAGACCUGAGAGAAAUAUACCAAAUAUUAACAGUGGUUCUUUGCUCAGGAUGAGAAGUCUGUGUGGGGGUGUGAGCCCCUCUACUUUUCUGUAUUUUCCAAAUUUUUCCUUAUAAAGUUGUGAUACUCUUCCUGUAUUCUCUCUGUAUUUUCAGUUACGUAUUCUUCUUAUCAUUCUGUAACUUGGUUUUUUCCAUUUACCAGUAGGCCUCAGUGAUAUUAUCAUCUUCCAGAGGCCCUUUAUUCUUCUGGGUGGCCUCAGGCCAUCUCAUGGUAUGGAUUUGGCAUAAUUUAUGUACCUACUGAAAGACAUCCUAAUCGACAAUCCUUUGGGCAGAGGGCUUUUUUUGUUUAUAGCAGAAAAGAAUAGACUAGGGAAAAAGCACUUCCAGGUGGCUGGAUGUGUAGAUUUGGCCCAUUAGGGCUGGGGGGGAUUUAAUUAUAGGCUCCAGAUUCAAGGAUGGUCCUUGUUGGUAAAAAUGGCCAUCUGGAGUGAGUGGGUCUGUUUGCAGGAUGAGUUUCUGAUAAUAAUAUCCCCACACCCACACUCCAUUCCAGGCAGCUCUGUCAACUGACCCCCCCCUUGGCAGGUGUAGGGCUUUUCUCUUUGGGGGAAGUUAUAGAUUAGGAUCCCCCUUGCCCUUGAUUUAUAUUGACAUGCAGCUUAAUUCUGUUUAGCUGUGGGCAAAUCCUCUUCAGGAAGUGAGUUUAUUCCAAUGCCUCUGGGCUGCCAGGAUGCAGAACUGACUCUGCUUCAUUCAAUUCUACCAACUGCUUUGGGGGUCCUUUAUAACAAAUAGAGUUUGAAAAACCGGAACCUCAGCCAAUUCCUUACACCUGCUGUGUGGCCUGCAGUCAACUUUGUUAGGGCUCUGGGCUGUGUGCUGUGUUUAUAUGGAAUAAGGGCUCGGAGUUAGAAGAUUGCAAUCAGCUCUAACCUUCUGGGGCGAUUCUUUGAGGCGUUAGUGAGAAAGACACAGUGCUGCCUCAUACCAGCUGUGUGAUCCUGAGUAGGUUGUUAACUUUUCUAUCAGCUUCUCAUUUGUAAGCUGGGGUCGGUGAAACCUACCUGACAGGGUUGUGCACAUUAAAUGAACUACUGCUAUGAGUCUGGCUCCUAACACAGCGGCUAUGCCUGGAAACUGAGUGAUGAGUCAUGGGUAUAAUCCUUAAGGAUCCUAGGAAGGGCAGCCCCUCGGCUCCCUUUAGCCCCUUCUCCAAGAGGUUUCCUGAGGCUGCCCAGGAGAGUGUGUCUUGAGAGCCUCUGAUCCAGGCAAGAAAGCCUAUUCAUUUCUCAGCCAACGGGAUGGUACCCUGAAGCCACCUAAGCUAAAUUUUAGCAAGAACAACGACAUAAAAGUUCCCUUUCUAAAGGCAGAUCCUAAACCUGCAAGAGUCCAAACCCAUCUAGCUGCUGUCUGGCCAGCACAUCAUGGACCUCCUGGAGUGGUCCAUAGCUUCAUCCAUAGUUUUGGCUUCAUCAUAUCACUUCAUCCUUAGCCUUGGCAUCCAGAACAUCAACCUAAAUCUUCUAAAAGGGGAGGCAUCACUUAGUGACGUUUAAAGAUCUGAUCCAAAAUGUGUUACUAGAGAGUGAAAAAACUAAGUGGAACAAAAAGUCUAGCACUACUAUUGUG
rnacentral:lncRNA from 1 species